UNGCAAACUGGUGUGUUAAGUGCGCCAAGG
rnacentral:piRNA from 1 species